UUACAGGGAGACCGGAACCCAGACGAAACCGAAAGCAGUAAAAUAGGUUUCAACUGAGGUCAUCCCAGGUCGUGCGAGGUUGAAUUAUAAUCGGCUUUCAAACUAUUUCUGGGCGCGGUAAAACUCCAGAUUUAGACAUUCUAAUCAUCUGGUAAAUUCUAAAAAACUCCGCCAACAGGAUAAAAGAUAUCAGCAAACUUUAUUAAAAAAAUAAAGACUGCUGGAGGUCUAAUCCAGCCAGAACCUUGAAAACUGCAUAGCAAAAACUGCCAUAGAGAAAGGUAGGGAAGCGAGUAAAAUCGCAGAAGUAUCAGUCAAAAAGCAAAGACCAAAGAAAAGU
rnacentral:misc_RNA from 1 species